AACGAACGCUGGCGGCAUGCCUAACACAUGCAAGUCGAACGAGACCUUCGGGUCUAGUGGCUCACGGGUGCGUAACGCGUGGGAACCUGCCCUUAGGUUCGGAAUAACUCCCCGAAAUGGGUGCUAAUACCGGAUAAUGUCUUCGGACCAAAGAUUUAUCGCCUUUGUAUGGGCCCGCGUUGGAUUAGCUAGUUGGUAGGGUAAAAGCCUACCAAGGUGACGAUCCAUAGCUUGUCUGAGCGGAUGCUCAGCCACACUGGGACUGAGACACGGCCCAGACUACUACGGGAGGGAGCAGUGGGGAAUAUUGGACAAUGGGCGAAAGACUGAUCCAGCAAUGCCGCGUGCGUGAUGAAGGUCUUAGGGUUGUAAAGCUCUUUUACACGGGAUGAUAAUGACAGUACCGGGAGAAUAAGCUCCGGCUAACUACGUG
rnacentral:rRNA from 1 species